rnacentral:rRNA from 1 species
GUGCCAGCAGCCGCGGUAAUACGUAGGGUGCGAGCGUUAAUCGGAAUUACUGGGCGUAAAGCGUACGCAGGCGGCUAUGCAAGACAGGUGUGAAAUCCCCGGGCUUAACCUGGGAACUGCAUUUGUGACUGCAUAGCUAGAGUUUGUCAGAGGGGGGUGGAAUUCCACGUGUAGCAGUGAAAUGCGUAGAGAUGUGGAGGAACACCGAUGGCGAAGGCAGCCCCCUGGGACCUGACUGACGCUCAUGUACGAAAGCGUGGGGAGCAAACAGGAUUAGAUACCCUGGUAGUCC